GCCGCCGGGGCUUGCCAGGAGCGGUGGGGCGGUGCCGGCAGCCGCGAGGGCCCGUGGGCGGACGGGUGGGCCGGCCGCCGAGCUGGGGAGAGCCGCGGGCCGCCACUGAGGCUGGAGCUUCAUCCCCAGGUGCCUGGCCAGCCCCAGACAGGACCUGGAAGGCGCCCCCCGCCGCCGCCGCCGCCGCCGCCGCCAGGAAAUAGGCUCCUCCCCACGUUCGGCUCUACACUAAAUAUGCCAACUGCAGGAGCCUGGCUGGCUUUCUGGGCUCCAGCUGACAGGACAAGCUCUGGGGUUUUCAUGGAGUGUCGCCAGCCGGAAGGAAGGUAUUACUCCAGGCUCCAGCUACUGGACUUCGGGCUGGUUCAGGGAGGGACGUGAUGAGAGGGGCUUGAGCCCAAACUGAUGAUCUGGCAGCUAGUUCCUCAGGCAGCUGAAAGGAAACAGCUACCCAGUGCAUCUCCCAUCUGGAUGUGACUGUCUCAAAGUCCUGUAGUAUGGGAACAUUGACAUUACUGUGAAAAAGCCAAUACCACUCAAAAACAAAGGAGCCAAUCAACUCAGAUGGCCUCGUCUCCCACAAGCUAAGGAUUUAGAUUACUGUUGCAAGUCUGCUUUGGACAUUCUGUUUAUUCUGAGAAGAAAUACCCUGUCUGGAUAGAAGAGACCCCAUCUAAAGAGCCCCGGACUGAUUCUGACCCAAACCCAAGGGUUUAAGUGGAACCAAAACAUCCGAAGGAAUGCUGCCAGAAUGACUGACUAUGAUACCAGAUAGCUUCCUGUUUUUCCUGGCUGACAAUCCUCCUGUGUACAGAGUCUGAUUCCUCAUCCAUCAGUAGCAGGUUCUGGGGCCAACCCAGGAGAUUUCAGUCCUUCCCUGUUAGUGUCUAAUUUCGACUCUUCCUUGAUAACCAAUAAAAUCUGUAUCACAAAGCUUGUUCUCUCUAAUUGGCUUUUUAACUUUCUCUCUAGGCAGGUCUGGAUUUGUCCCACUAGCUGAUGUCCACUGUAAGGGAGGUAUUCUUUGUGCCAUAGAAGCCUUGGAAAUGGAAACAGCAGUGUAAUCUGGUCACACAUGACUGAGUAAACCUAUUGAUCCAAAGGCCAAAUGAUCAAUUUUGUUUGAAAGACAAGUAGGCUAACUGGGAAAAAAAGAUUCUUCUUCUAGGAGCCCCAUUCAAGAGCACACUGGCUCCACAUGUUUAGUCUUGGUUCUGUCUUUGUAUAACUAUAGUACUCGAAGGACUUGACCAGGGAUGUUGGUGUAGGGAGUCUUUAAAGCUAGUAAUAUGGAGCCUUGGUGGAGCUGAUUCUCCACUGAUCUCUGAAGUUGACUUGAUUUCAUCC